rnacentral:lncRNA from 1 species
GGAAGGAAGGAAGGAAGAGAAUCUAGUACAAGGGAAUUCUUGGAAAUAACAGUUGUGUUAGGCUGGUAAGAUUAUAGGUCAUUUUUGUUGCUUUGUUCUGUUUUCCAAACUUUUCAUUACAUGGCUUUGUCGUUAUUUUAGCAGGAACAAAACCCUCACUGCUGCAGGGUGGUAUUCUUUCCACUCCCCAGAAUCCUGCUGCUUCGUGUUGAAGAGCUAGUACCCCGACUGUCCAUUCCUCACUCCAAGGAAUAGGCCCAAGGGGUUGCUUGGAUGGUGGGAGAUUGCUACUGGUGACAUGAAACGGCGGCGGGGCCGGGAAGAGCGCAAAACAUUAGAGUACCCCUAAACGCUUAAAAUGUCUUAGUGAGGAGACAUUUAUGGAUCCCCAUCGCCUGGCUUGGUGCUGCUGGAACACAGUGGCAGCAAACCCCAGUCCCUACCCUGCCCUUGCGCCAGACUCCUGUGGGUUCAGAGGCGAGGUGCAGCACGCAGAGGCGGGGUGGGGGUGUCCUCAAGGAGGCCUGAGCAGGGGCCUGGCCAGGUCAGGCCCUGUAUGCAGUGGCCAACUUUGCCAGUAGUCAUUAGGCAUGUCUAAGGCUUGAAUCCUUAUUAGUCCCCACCUAUCUAUCCAGAAUCUUUGUGGUGGAAAGAUACUGCUAAUGAAUACAAAGUCGACUAACUGCUCAACACAUGUUUUGGUCAUCCAAACUCAAGAGAACCAAGUUCUGGUUCUAGGUCUGCCAUUAGCUAGCUGAGAGAACUUGGGAAAAAUCACUCUAUCUUCUGGGCCUCAGUCUCACCAAUCUAUAAAAUGGGGAGAAUCAUAAUAGUUAUAAAUAAUAUCUGUCCCAACUACCUUAUGGAGUUUUUAGAGAAUCAGGUGAUAUAGUAACAGGAGAAAAGAGACAGAGACAGCCAAUAUGGUCUUUGCACAUCUGAGUGUGCUGCUUCAACACGAAGCAGCAGGAUUCUGGGGAGUGGAAAGGAAGUGUUUUUAAAAAACACUUUAAAAGUAUAAAGGAGUCAGGCAUGAUGGCACACACCUAUCAUCCCAGUGACUCAGGAGGCUGAGCCAGGAGCAUCAUAAGUUCAAAGCCAGCCUCGGCAAUUUCAUGAGAUCCUGUUUCAAAGAUAAAUAAUAAAAAGGAUUGGGGAUGCAGCUCAACGAUAGGGCACUUUCCUAGCAUGUAUGAGGCCUGGGUUCAAUCCCUACUACCAAAAAAAAAAAAGUAUUAAAAGGAUGUCAACUAAUGAAUGAAUAAACAACAUAUUUUCUAUCAAUACAAUCAAACAUUAUUCAGCCAUAAAAGGACUGAAGUACUGAUACAUGCUACAAGAUGGAUGAAUCUUGAAAAUGUGUAACAGAAACCAAUCAGACACAAAAGAUUGUGUAUCUUAUCAUAUGAUAUUUAAAUUAAAUAUCCAAAAUAGGCAAGUCCAUAGAGACCAAAUGCUGAUUAGUGGUUUCCAGAGGUGGAGCAGAUAGGAAAAGAGAGUGAUAGGGUUUCCUCGUGAGGUGAUGAAAAUAUUCAGGAGCUAGACAUUGAUGAAGGUUGCAGCACAGUGUGAAUAUG